rnacentral:rRNA from 1 species
GAUGAACGCUAGCGACAGGCCUAACACAUGCAAGUCGAGGGGCAGCACAUGAGUAGCAAUACGAUGGUGGCGACCGGCGCACGGGUGAGUAACACGUAUGCAACCUGCCUUCUACUAUGGGAUAACCCGUUGAAAGACGGACUAAUACCGUAUAAUACAGGGGCUCCGCAUGGAGAUAUUUGUUAAAGAUUUAUUGGUAGAAGAUGGGCAUGCGUAUGAUUAGAUAGUUGGUGAGGUAACGGCUCACCAAGUCAACGAUCAUUAGGGGUUCUGAGAGGAAGGUCCCCCACACUGGUACUGAGACACGGACCAGACUCCUACGGGAGGCAGCAGUGAGGAAUAUUGGUCAAUGGACGAGAGUCUGAACCAGCCAAGUCGCGUGAAGGAAGACGGUUCUAUGAAUUGUAAACUUCUCUUGUGCAGGAAUAAAGUGGGUUACGUGUAACCUUUUGUAUGUACUGUACGAAUAAGGAUCGGCUAACUCCGUGCCAGCCGCCGCUGUAAUAC